GGAAAGCCCUAUCUAUUGCAGUCUGCAGCCUUGUACUUUUCAGCAGGCACCGCACCAGGCAGCAUCAGCUUGACAGUGGCACUUCCUGUCCUCCUAAUUGGCACUGGCACUAACCAACCAAGGACUGGCUGACUUCACUGAAUCUGAAGCCUCCAAUUGAACCCCUUGUUGCUGCAUCACAGAGAACGGAAAGAGUAUCUGUAUUCUGAGAGAUUUGCCUGAGCUGGUAUUGGAAAACAUUAAAGUGAAGAGGUCAGUGGUGGAGGUAAACUUUUGUUCCCCAGAGAAUCUGUCCUUUCCUCUGGCAAAGACAC